rnacentral:rRNA from 1 species
GACGAACGCUGGCGGCGUGCUUAACACAUGCAAGUCGAACGGAAAGGCCCUGCUUUUGUGGGGUGCUCGAGUGGCGAACGGGUGAGUAACACGUGGGUAACCUGCCCUUGACUCUGGGAUAACUUCAGGAAACUGGGGCUAAUACCGGAUAGGAGCUCCUGCUGCAUGGUGGGGGUUGGAAAGUUUCGGCGGUUGGGGAUGGACUCGCGGCUUAUCAGCUUGUUGGUGGGGUAGUGGCUUACCAAGGCUUUGACGGGUAGCCGGCCUGAGAGGGUGACCGGCCACAUUGGGACUGAGAUACGGCCCAGACUCCUACGGGAGGCAGCAGUGGGGAAUAUUGCACAAUGGGCGGAAGCCUGAUGCAGCAACGCCGCGUGCGGGAUGACGGCCUUCGGGUUGUAAACCGCUUUCGCCUGUGACGAAGCGUGAGUGACGGUAAUGGGUAAAGAAGCACCGGCUAACUACGUG